rnacentral:rRNA from 1 species
GACGAACGCUGGCGGCGUGCCUAAUACAUGCAAGUCGAACGCAUUUUCUUUCACCGUAGCUUGCUACACCGAAAGAAAAUGAGUGGCGAACGGGUGAGUAACACGUUGGUAACCUGCCCAUCAGCGGGGGAUAACACUUGGAAACAGGUGCUAAUACCGCAUAAUUCCAUUUACCGCAUGGUAAAUGGAUGAAAGGCGCUUUUGCGUCACUGAUGGAUGGACCCGCGGUGCAUUAGCUAGUUGGUGGGGUAACGGCCUACCAAGGCUGCGAUGCAUAGCCGACCUGAGAGGGUGAUCGGCCACACUGGGACUGAGACACGGCCCAGACUCCUACGGGAGGCAGCAGUAGGGAAUCUUCGGCAAUGGACGCAAGUCUGACCGAGCAACGCCGCGUGAUUGAAGAAGGUUUUCGGAUCGUAAAACUCUGUUGUUAGAGAAGAACAAGGAUGAGAGUGGAAAGUUCAUCCCUUGACGGUAUCUAACCAGAAAGCCACGGCUAACUACGUG